rnacentral:tRNA from 1 species
GUCCCCGUAGCUCAGUGGACAGAGCGGCUGCCUUCUAAGCAGCGGGUCGAAGGUUCGAAUCCUUCCGGGGGCGCCA